UACGUAGGGUGCAAGCGUUAAUCGGAAUACUGGGCGUAAAGCGUGCGCAGGCGGUGAUGUAAGACCGAUGUGAAAUCCCCGGGCUUAACCUGGGAACUGCAUUGGUGACUGCAUUGCUGGAGUAUGGCAGAGGGGGGUGGAAUUCCACGUGUAGCAGUGAAAUGCGUAGAGGAUGUGGAGGAACACCGAUGGCGAAGGCAGCCCCCUGGGCCAAUACUGACGCCUCAUGCACGAAAGCGUGGGGA
rnacentral:rRNA from 1 species